CAGCCGCCGCGGGAAUACGUAGGGCGCAAGCGUUGUCCGGAAUUAUUGGGCGUAAAGAGCUCGUAGGCGGUUUGUCGCGUCUGCUGUGAAAACUCGAGGCUCAACCUCGGGCCUGCAGUGGGUACGGGCAGACUAGAGUGCGGUAGGGGAGACUGGAAUUCCUGGUGUAGCGGUGGAAUGCGCAGAUAUCAGGAGGAACACCGAUGGCGAAGGCAGGUCUCUGGGCCGCAACUGACGCUGAGGAGCGAAAGCAUGGGGAGCGAACAGGAUUAGAUACCCCUGUAGUCCCUGUCUCUUAUAA
rnacentral:rRNA from 1 species